CCUACGGGAUGCAGCAGUGGGGAAUAUUGCACAAUGGGGGAAACCCUGAUGCAGCGACGCCGCGUGAGUGAAGAAGUAAUUCGUUACGUAAAGCUCUAUCAGCAGGGAAGAAACACUGACCUUACGGUCAGCAGACGGUACCUGAGUAAGAAGCCCCGGCGAACUACGUGCCAGCAGCCGCGGUAAUAAGUAGGGGGCAAGCGUUAUCCGGAGUUACUGGGUGUAAAGGGAUCGUAGACGGUGCGCCAAGUCUGUAGUGAACUGACGCAGCUUAACUGCGGAACUGCUUUGGAACCGGGCGAACUAGAGGGCGGGAGGGGUAAGCGGAAUUCCUAGUGGAGCGGUGAAAUGCGUAGAGAGUAGGAGGAACUCCGGUGGCGAAGGCGGCUUAGUGGACCGUAACUGACGUUGAGGCUCGAAAGCGUGGGGAGCAAACAGGAUUAGAUACCCUUGUAGUC
rnacentral:rRNA from 1 species